rnacentral:rRNA from 1 species
UGGGGAAUAUUGCACAAUGGGCGCAAGCCUGAUGCAGCCAUGCCGCGUGUAUGAAGAAGGCCUUCGGGUUGUAAAGUACUUUCAGCGGGGAGGAAGGUGUUGAGGUUAAUAACCUCAGCAAUUGACGUUACCCGCAGAAGAAGAACCGGCUAACUCCGUGCCAGCAGCCGCGGUAAUACGGAGGGUGCAAGCGUUAAUAGGAAUUACUGGGCGUAAAGCGCACGCAGGCGGUCUGUCAAGUCGGAUGUGAAAUCCCCGGGCUCAACCUGGGAACUGCAUUCGAAACUGGCAGGCUAGAGUCUUGUAGAGGGGGGUAGAAUUCCAGGUGUAGCGGUGAAAUGCGUAGAGAUCUGGAGGAAUACCGGUGGCGAAGGCGGCCCCCUGGACAAAGACUGACGCUCAGGUGCGAAAGCGUGGGGAGCAAACA